ACUCCUACGGGAGGCAGCAGUGGGGAAUAUUGCACAAUGGGCGCAAGCCUGAUGCAGCCAUGCCGCGUGUAUGAAGAAGGCCUUCGGGUUGUAAAGUACUUUCAGCAGUGAGGAAGGUGGGUAUGUUAAUAGCAUACUCAUUUGUACGUUAGCUGCAGAAGAAGCACCGGCUAACUCCGUGCCAGCAGCCGCGGUAAGUACGGAGGGUGCGAGCGUUAAUCGGAAUUACUGGGCGUAAAGCGCAUGCAGGUGGUUGUUAAGUCAGAUGUGAAAGCCCGGGGCUCAACCUCGGAAUUGCAUUUGAAACUGGCAAACUAGAGUACUGUAGAGGGGGUAGAAUUUCAGGUGUAGCGGUGAAAUGCGUAGAGAUCUGAAGGAAUACCGGUGGCGAAGGCGGCCCCUGGACAGAUACUGACACUCAGAUGCGAAAGCGUGGGAGCAAACAGGAUUAGAUA
rnacentral:rRNA from 1 species